ACCAAACUGUCUUGCAUCUGGCAAGAGAAAUGCUGUGGGCUGGAUAAAAGCUUUUUCAGCUUGUGUUCCUUCCUGUUUCAGUUUCCAAACUUGCAUUAUCGGUAACCUGAAAUAUGAUGAGUUUCACCAAAUUCCUGGAUAUUGCACAAGAGGACAAUGAGUCUAUUUCGGGUCCUGUGAAUGUGUCUGGCACGGACCCUGGAAGUCAUUGUUUUCAGGAGGGAGCAGAUUUGGGGUUUCCUGGUGCUUUCCUUCUGGGGUCUCAGAGCCCCCAAAGGUACCAGGGGUGGGAGUGCUCUCCAUGGCAACCAUCCAGACUGCAUCUAAAAGGACACGCGUGGAAACACCAGGAAUUCGUGGAGGACUUCAUGGAGGUCCUCACCUUGGAUACUGAGUUCUCAGAGCAUUUCCAUGGCGGUUAAUUUGUUGCUGUCUGGCUGGGCUACCAUGGAUGCUAGGGAAAAGGGAUGGAAUCUCAAGAGCCAGGAAAUGAAGAGGCCAGGAUAAAACAGUGUGGAGCUCAGCAGCUGCUGCCAGCUGUUCUCGAGCCAGAUAGUGAGGUGGGCUAUCCUCUACCUGAGGGGCUGCGGUGCAGUCGCGGAAGAUAAUAUGAUGGCAAAGAGACCGAAGGGAGAGACCCCAGUUAAGGCUGAGCACUCCCAGAAACCAGGAUGGCCUGGUGGCAUUUGUCCUGACAGCUGCUGAGGGCUUCAACUUCCAGAAAAGCCAUUUGCUCAGGCUUGCCCUGUCUGGCCAACUUCGAAUCACUUAAAGGACCCUGGUUGGCCUCUGAGGUCCCCCUCUCUGCACCUGAACCCUCCCAUCUUUGGAAGACAAGGCAAGUUCCUAGGAGACAUUCGCCCCACCGUCUGUCUCGAAGCUGCUGCUGUAACCUUCCCACAGUAGUCAACAUCAGCUGGCAAAUCCCUAAAUUAAGGUUCUGUUUACUCUGUUGUUCCAAAGGCUUGUUUUGAGCAAGAGGCUGUGCUUUAAUUAAAAAGAUGAG
ensembl:lncRNA